GGGGGCGCCCUGGUUUCGACGGGGGCAUAGAAGCCCUUGGACGCGUGCCGAGUGGGCCUGACACUCGUAAAUCACGAAGGCAACGACACAAAAGCCAACGACAACGUUGAGCUCGCGCUGGCUGCUUAAACAGUCUUAGCGCGCGGUCACCCGGGUCUCGGCCCGUGGGCUCGGGAGUGACCGUCAGAAUGCGGGCUGGCCGUCCGGGAGGGCCCGGACCCUGGACGGCGAGACUGUUCCGGGAUGGGGUGGAGGAGAGGGCGUCCGUGCCCGCUCGCCGCCCGACUCCAAAUCGCGGACUACGCACGUAGUGUCUCGGGGUGGAAGGCUUCCGGACGCGGGUUCGAUUCCCGCCGCCUCCACAA
rnacentral:tmRNA from 1 species